UCGGUCAUCAUUUUUGUGAAUGAGCAAUUUUGAGUUUAAGUUCAAUUGCAUAGUCACAAAAGUGAUGGAUGC
rnacentral:pre_miRNA from 1 species